AUUGAACGCUGGCGGCAGGCUUAACACAUGCAAGUCGAGCGAGCGGCGGACGGGUGAGUAAUGUCUGGGAAACUGCCUGAUGGAGGGGGAUAACUACUGGAAACGGUAGCUAAUACCGCAUAACAUCAGAUGUGCCCAGAUGGGAUUAGCUAGUAGGUGGGGUAAUGGCUAACCUAGGCGACGAUCCCUAGCUGGUCUGAGAGGAUGACCAGCCAAACUGGAACUGAGACACGGUCCAGAUCCCUAGGGGGGGCAGCAGUGGGGAAUAUUGCACAAGGGGCGCAAGCCUGAUGCAGCAAUGCCGGGUGUGGGAAGAAGGCUUGCGGGUUGUAAAGCACUUCCAGCGAGGAGGCGUUACUCGCAGAAGAAGCACCGGCUAACUCCGGGCAAGCAGCCGCGUAAUUC
rnacentral:rRNA from 1 species